rnacentral:lncRNA from 1 species
GGCGUUUCAAGCAAUGUUUGUGGAGAUGUUUGCUGUCAGGGCACAUGCAGUACAAAGUCAGUAUGCUGUGCAUUGAGAACCAAGACCACAGUGACAUCACAAUAUGCAAUGUGAGCGAACACUGACAGAAAGACCUUGGAUUCAUCAUACAUUUGAUUUUGAAUUCAUUUUCAGUCACUGCGUGUUUAGAACCUUUCUACCCUGGUGACUUUUUUUUUUUUGGAAGUCCAGUUACAGGACCCUCUCCAGCAUUGAGACCUACUUGAAUUUUUUAAAAUAUUUUUGUGCAUUGGGGGUGGUGUUUAUCUUUGUGGAGAUCUGCAGUUGGUUCUUUCACUUCCAUUGUGAACUCUGUGGAUGGAACUCAACCCCUGAGACUCACAGGGAGCACUUUACCGGAGAGGCUGCCUCAUCAGCCUGGAGCCUACAGUACGAUCAUUUCCAGGAUUUGGAGGGUCAGGCUACACAUCUGGAAGGACAUCAGCUUCCCACCUUCUACUUCACUCCAGAACCAUUCCAUCGUCUUCAAGGAACCAGCGUUGUGAAACAGCCCAGACAAGCCCCUCACACCUCAAACCUUCCUCCCCCUCCUAACGCCCAAGUCACUUUCUACGGGGUUGGUCUGGAAAAUAACUGAAAAUGGUCUCUGUAAACUGAAAAGACGAAAUCAGAACAGACGUUUGAGAAACAAGCCUUCUAGCUGGC